AUGGCCUUCAAGUCAGUGACAAUUCUGAGAGCAGCGAUUAACCAAAAGUUGAUAGAAACUGGAGAAAGAGAACGCCUCAAAGAGUUGCUGAGAGCUAAAUUAAUUGAAUGUGGCUGGAAAGAUCAAUUGAAGGCACACUGUAAAGAGGUAAUUAAAGAAAAAGGACUAGAACACGUUACUGUUGAUGACUUGGUGGCUGAAAUCACUCCAAAAGGCAGAGCCCUGGUACCUGACAGUGUAAAGAAGGAGCUCCUACAAAGAAUAAGAACAUUCCUUGCUCAGCAUGCCAGCCUUUAAGAUUGAAUUAGAUUGUGUUGUUCUGUGGUUUUAUUUCUGAAAGUAAAACUUGCCAUAAAUUAGAAAUCAAUUUCCCAAAAUAAAAUCCUUUUUUGUAUGAUGGUAAAA